rnacentral:rRNA from 1 species
GGUCGCGUCCUAUCAGGUAGUCGGCGGGGUAACGGCCCACCGAGCCUACGACGGGUAGCCGGCCUGAGAGGGCGACCGGCCACAUUGGGACUGAGAUACGGCCCAGACUCCUACGGGAGGCAGCAGUGGGGAAUAUUGCACAAUGGGCGCAAGCCUGAUGCAGCGACGCCGCGUGCGGGAUGACGGCCUUCGGGUUGUAAACCGCUUUUGAUCGGGAGCAAGCCUUCGGGUGAGUGUACCUUUCGAAUAAGCACCGGCUAACUACGUGCCAGCAGCCGCGGUAAUACGUAGGGUGCAAGCGUUAUCCGGAAUUAUUGGGCGUAAAGGGCUCGUAGGCGGUUCGUCGCGUCCGGUGUGAAAGUCCAUCGCUUAACGGUGGAUCCGCGCCGGGUACGGGCGGGCUUGAGUGCGGUAGGGGAGACUGGAAUUCCCGGUGUAACGGUGGAAUGUGUAGAUAUCGGGAAGAACACCAAUCACUAGUG